CCUACGGGAGGCAGCAGUGGGGGAUAUUGGACAAUGGGGGAAACCCUGAUCCAGCGACGCCGCGUGAGUGAAGAAGUAUUUCGGUAUGUAAAGCUCUAUCAGCAGGGAAGAAAGAAAUGACGGUACCUGAGUAAGAAGCCCCGGCUAACUACGUGCCAGCAGCCGCGGGAAUACGUAGGGGGCAAGCGUUAUCCGGAAUUACUGGGUGUAAAGGGAGCGUAGACGGUAAUGCAAGGACGGAGUGAAAGGCGGGGGCCCAACCCCCGGACUGCUCUGGAAACUGUGUAACUAGAGCGCGGGGGGGGUAAGCGGAAUUCCUAGUGUAGCGGUGAAAUGCGUAGAUAUUAGGAGGAACACCGGUGGCGAAGGCGGCUUACUGGACCGUAACUGACGUUGAGGCUCGAAAGCGUGGGGAGCAAACAGGAUUAGAUACCCCAGUAGUC
rnacentral:rRNA from 1 species